UUGACGGUACCUGACUAAGAAGCCCCGGCUAACUACGUGCCAGCAGCCGCGGUAAUACGUAGGGGGCGAGCGUUAUCCGGAAUUAUUGGGCGUAAAGAGUACGUAGGUGGUUUUGUAAGCGUAGGGUGAAAGCCCGGGGCUCAACUCCGGCGAGCCCUACGAACUGCAAGACUUGAGUGCAGGAGGGGAAAGGAGAAUUCCUGUGUGUACGCGGAGAAAUGUCGUAAGUUAUCGAGAGAGAGAACACCGCGCGUGGGAGAGAGGGGCAUUUCUCGGGCACUGUAAUCUGACGCUGAGGCACGAAAGUGUGGGGAGCAAACAGGAUUAGAUACCCUGGUAGUCCACACCGUAAACGAUGAUUACUAGGUGUAGGGUGGUCAGACCAUUCUGUGCCGGAGUUAACACAAUAAGUAAUCCACCUGGGGAGUACGGCCGCAAGGUUGAAACUCAAAGGAAUUGACGGGGGCCCGCACAAGCAGUGGAGUAUGUGGUUUAAUUCGAAGCUACGCGGAAAACCUUACCAGGUCUUGACAUCUGACUAACGAAACAGAGAUGUAUUAGGUGCCCUUCGGGGAAAGUCAAGACAGGUGGUGCAUGGUUGUCGUCAGCUCGUGUCGUGAGAUGUUGGGUUAAGUCCCGCAACGAGCGCAACCCUUGUUGUCAGUUGCUACGCAAGAGCACUCUGGCAAGACUGCCGUUGACAAAACGGAGGAAGGUGGGGAUGACGUCAAAUCAUCAUGCCCUUUAUGACCUGGGCCACACACGUACUACAAUGGCGGUCAACAAAGGGGAGCGACGGAGUGAUCCGAAGCAAAUCCCAAAAAGCCGUCUCAGUUCAGACUGCAGGCUGCAACUCGCCUGCACGAAGUCGGAAUUGCUAGUAAUCGUGAAUCAGCAUGUCACGGUGAAUACGUUCCCGGGCCUUGUACACACCGCCGGUCA
rnacentral:rRNA from 1 species